rnacentral:lncRNA from 1 species
ACUGCAGUCAUGUGUUAUUAACGAGAUUGUUUAUCUAUGUGUAGAUGUAUAAAACUUUAUUAACUUCAUUAUAAUCACUUCAGAUCUUUUAAUCCACUUAAUCCUCUCUCUUUCUUAUUUUCCUUAGAUACUCCCAGGAACAUCUCAGGAGAACCCAACACAACAGUGUCCCACAAUCCUCAGCAGGAAGCAGGUCUGUCGGUGAUGAUGAUGGUGGUGUAUAUCAGCUGUGGUUCUGCAGGAGCUCUACUGCUGCUGCUGGGGAUCAUCAUCUUCCUGCUGUGUAGAAGAAGGAGGAGGAGAGUGUUGCGUAAUCCGGUGUAUGUACCUGGGCAAUCAGGCACUGCCCCUCCAAAUCUGCCUCAAACCAAUGACCCCUUCCUCAGCCACGCCCCCCAGCAAGGAGACACCAAAAGGGUGUGGGAUGAAGAUGAAGAUGAUGAAGAUGAAGAGAUGUACCUGAAUGUUCCAAAAAAACAAUAAAGAACUCUCUUAAACAGUCGAAAACAAGAGACUUAACCUUUUUAUUUGUUUGGAUCCAGAUCCCAACAAUUCACAACGAUUCAAAGUUAUUUACAAUAAUUCAUAGUGAUUCAAAACGAUUCAAAGUGAUUCACUGCAAUUCACAACAAUUUACAACAAUUUCCAACGAUUCAAAAGGAUCCACAACAAUUCACAGCGAUUCACAACGAUUCACAGUGAUUCACAGCAAUUUACAGUGAUUCACAACAAUUCACAGUGAUUCACAAUGAUUCACUACAAUUUACAGUGAUUCACAACAAUUUACAGUGAUUCACAAUGAUUCACUACAAUUCACAGUGAUUCACAACAAUUUACAACAAUUUACAGAGAUUCAUAGUGAUUCACAAUGAUUCACAGUGAUUCACAAUGAUUCAGAGUGAUUAACAAUGAUUCACAACAAUUCACAAUGAUUCAUGAUGAUUCAUGAUGAUUCAGUUAGGAAACAGUUCAACUAUAAUUCAAUUCAUUAAACAAUUUAAUGAACUUAAUAAACUAAAUUAACCUGAUUAGCUUUGAUUUAAU